rnacentral:rRNA from 1 species
CGAGUUUGAUCAUGGCUCAGGAUGAACGCUAGCUGGAGGCUUAAUACAUGCAAGUCGAGCGGGAUUGGGUAGCAAUACCCAUGAGAGCGGCGCACGGGUGAGUAACGCGUACACGACCUACCUCUGACAGGGGGAUAGCCCUGGGAAACUGGGAUUAAUACCGCAUAUUAUUCUGAAUAAUAAAGGUUUGGAAUGAAAGCUGAGGCGGUCAGAGAUGGGUGUGCGUCUGAUUAGCUAGUUGGUAGGGUAACGGCCUACCAAGGCGAUGAUCAGUAGGGGGCGUGAGAGCGUGGUCCCCCACACGGGUACUGAGACACGGACCCGACUCCUACGGGAGGCAGCAGUAAGGAAUAUUGGUCAAUGGGCGAAAGCCCGAACCAGCCAUCCAGCGUGCAGGAAGAAGGCCCUAUGGGUUGUAAACUGCUUUUAUCAGGGAAGAAACCUCUGGAUUUACUCCGGAGCUGACGGUACCUGAAGAAUAAGCACCGGCUAACUCCGUG